AGCAGGCAUCUUCUCAGCCUACAUGUGGAUUCCUAAAUCUGCAGGCUGGUUAGAUGGUUGUCAUGCAUUCAUCUGAUAACUGC
ensembl:miRNA